AUUGAACGCUGGCGGCAGGCCUAACACAUGCAAGUCGAGCGAGCGGCGGACGGGUGAGUAAUGUAUGGGGAUCUGCCUGAUGGCGGGGGAUAACUACUGGAAACGGUAGCUAAUACCGCAUACCAUCAGAUGAACCCAUAUGGGAUUAGCUAGUAGGUAAGGUAACGGCUUACCUAGGGGACGAUCCCUAGCUGGUCUGAGGGGAUGAUCAGCAAACCGGGACUUGAGACACGGCCCAGACUCCUACGGGAGGCAGCAGUGGGGAAUAUUGCACAAUGGGCGCAAGCCUGAUGCAGCCAUGCCGCGUGUAUGAAGAAGGCCUUCGGGUUGUAAAGUACUUUCAGUCGGGAGGCGUUACCGACAGAAGAAGCACCGGCUAACUCCGUGCCAGCAGCCGCGGUAAUAC
rnacentral:rRNA from 1 species